GUCGGUAAUGAAGUGGUUUUUGUUGGAUUUGGACUCAUUCAGUCAAAAGACAUAAGCAGGACAAAAAUGAUGUUUUGGAUAUUUACUAUACUCUGCUUCGUUCGAUCAUGUAUGGCAGUGACGGUUGCUAUAGAUGGGAAAGAGGUGGAUUGCAGUUACAACUGUGUAUGUUGUGAAGGAGGAACGUCAAAAUGUAGAUUUGAUAACAUCUGUUUACAAGGUUGUAUUGAAACCAUUACUGGUCACAGAUGUCAUCACUCUUGUCCCGAAAACUGCUACACAUGCGAAUUUACAAAUGGAAACCCAUGUUACACAUGCAAAAAUACAUAUUAUGAUAAAAACAGUUUGUGCAGCAAGCGGUGUUCCGUCGGGUGUAAAAAUGGAACUUGUAAUGACGAUGGAAUGUGUAGCCCAUGUAAAGCUGAUUUCGGAGGUCCUAGAUGUCAGCCAUGUAUACCAGGAAAAUAUG